rnacentral:lncRNA from 1 species
GAGGCUCGGACAUAGUCCGAUUCUUAUGGGAGGCCGAAAGGAGGUCGCUUAUUGUUGGAGCUCGGUCAAAGAUCGAUUGUCGUGGCAGCUCGGAGUAACGACCUGGUCGGUGGAUCCCACCCCAUGGUAGAAGCUCGUCUGGGAUCCAGCUACGAAGAAGCUCGGUUGAAGUCUACCUGUAAUGGAAGUUCGAAAGAAAUUUGUCUACAGCAAAGGCUCGAAUGGAAUUUGCUUAUAGUAGA